AAUUUAUAAUCUGGCACCUUCGGUGUCCGAGUUGUAAUCUCUAGAAAUGUUUUCCGCGUUGGACCGCACACAAGUCUGUUGGAAUACAGCGGCAUAGUGGUGAGACCCCCGUAUAUGGUGCGGACGCCCAGCGCUUUGUGAUACAUUUUCGAAGAGUCGAGUUGUUUGGGAAUGCAGCUCAAAUUGGGUGGUAAAUUCCAUCUAAAGCUAAAUAUUGGCGAGAGACCGAUAGCGAACAAGUACCGUGAGGGAAAGAUGAAAAGCACUUUGGAAAGAGAGUUAACAGUACGUGAAAUUGUUGGAAGGGAAACGCUUGAAGUCAGACUUGCUUGCCGAGCAAUCGGUUUGCAGGCCAGCAUCAGUUUUCCGGGAUGGAUAAUGGUAAAGAGAAGGUAGCAGUUUCGGCUGUGUUAUAGCUCUCUACUGGAUACAUCCUGGGGGACUGAGGAACGCAGUGUGCCUUUGGCGGGGGUUUCGACCUCUUCACACUUAGGAUGCUGGUGGAAUGGCUUUAAACGACCCGUCUU
rnacentral:rRNA from 1 species